GAUGAACGCUGGCGGCGUGCUUAACACAUGCAAGUCGAACGGACAAGAUGAAACCUAGUGAUUUUUGUUAGUGGCGGACGGGUGAGUAACGCGUGGGCAACCUGCCUCAUACAGGGGGAUAACACUUAGAAAUAGGUGCUAAUACCGCAUAAGCGCACAGUGCUGCAUGGCACAGUGUGAAAAACUCCGGUGGUAUGAGAUGGACCCGCGUCUGAUUAGCUAGUUGGUGGGUAAAGGCCUACCAAGGCGACGAUCAGUAGCCGGCCUGAGAGGGUGAACGGCCACAUUGGGACUGAGACACGGCCCAGACUCCUACGGGAGGCAGCAGUGGGAAUAUGCACAAUGGCGC
rnacentral:rRNA from 1 species